rnacentral:rRNA from 1 species
AUUGAACGCUGGCGGCAGGCCUAACACAUGCAAGUCGAGCGGAGCGGCGGACGGGUGAGUAAUGCCUAUGAAUCUGCCUGGUCGUGGGGGAUAACGACCGGCAACGGGCGCUAAUACCUCAUACUCGCAGAUGAGCCUAGGUGGGAUUAGCUAGUUGGUGGGGUAAAGGCCUACCAAGGCGACGAUCCUUAACUGGUCUGAGAGGAUGAUCAGUCACACUGGAACUGAGACACGGCCCAGACUCCUACGGGAGGCAGCAGUGGGGAAUAUUGGACAAUGGGCGAAAGCCUGAUGCAGCCAUGCCGCGUGUAUGAAGAAGGCCUUCGGGUUGUAAAGUACUUUCAGUUGGGAGGCGUUACCGACAGAAGAAGCACCGGCUAACUUCGUGCCAGCAGCCGCGGUAAUUC